AGAGUUUGAUCCUGGCUCAGAUUGAACGCUGGCGGAAUGCUUUACACAUGCAAGUCGAACGGCAGCACGGGAGCUUGCUCCUGGUGGCGAGUGGCGAACGGGUGAGUAACAUAUCGGAACAUAUCCUAUCGUGGGGGAUAACUAGUCGAAAGACUAGCUAAUACCGCAUACGUCCUGAGGGAGAAAGCGGGGGCUCGCAAGACCUCGCGCGAUUGGAGUGGCCGAUAUCUGAUUAGCUAGAUGGUGAGGUAAAAGCUCACCAUGGCGACGAUCAGUAGCUGGUCUGAGAGGAUGAUCAGCCACACUGGGACUGAGACACGGCCCAGACUCCUACGGGAGGCAGCAGUGGGGAAUUUUGGACAAUGGGCGAAAGCCUGAUCCAGCCAUUCCGCGUGAGUGAAGAAGG
rnacentral:rRNA from 1 species